AACGAACGCUGGCGGCAUGCCUAACACAUGCAAGUCGAACGAGACCUUCGGGUCUAGUGGCGCACGGGUGCGUAACACGUGGGAAUCUGCCCUUUGCUUCGGAAUAACAGUUAGAAAUGACUGCUAAUACCGGAUGAUGUCGAAAGACCAAAGAUUUAUCGGCAAAGGAUGAGCCCGCGUAGGAUUAGGUAGUUGGUGGGGUAAAGGCCUACCAAGCCGACGAUCCUUAGCUGGUCUGAGAGGAUGAUCAGCCACACUGGGACUGAGACACGGCCCAGACUCCUACGGGAGGCAGCAGUGGGGAAUAUUGGACCAUGGGCGGAAGCCUGAUCCAGCAAUGCCGCGUGAGUGAUGAAGGCCUUAGGGUUGUAAAGCUCUUUUAACAGGGAUGAUAAUGACAGUACCUUGAGAAUAAGCUCCGGCUAACUCCGUG
rnacentral:rRNA from 1 species